rnacentral:rRNA from 1 species
UACGUAGGGGGCAAGCGUUGUCCGGAUUUAUUGGGCGUAAAGAGCGUGUAGGCGGCCAGGUAGGUCUGCUGUGAAAACUCGAGGCUUAACCUCGAGAUGUCGGCGGAAACCAUCUGGCUAGAGUCCGGAAGAGGAGAAUGGAAUUCCCGGUGUGAGCGGUGAAAUGCGCAGAUAUCAGGAGGAACACCGGUGGCGAAGGCGGGUCUCUGGGCCGUAACUGACGCUGAGGAGCGAAAGCAUGGGGAGCGAACAGG